rnacentral:tRNA from 1 species
GGUCUGGUGGUAUAGUUGGUUAUCACGUCAGUCUAACACCUCGAGGAGACUCGGCUAGUCACACUGAAGGUCUCCGGUUCAAGUCCGGGCUAGAUCA